UGGGGAAUUUUGGACAAUGGGCGAAAGCCUGAUCCAGCAAUGCCGCGUGUGUGAAGAAGGCCUUCGGGUUGUAAAGCACUUUUGUCCGGAAAGAAAUCCUUGGCUCUAAUACAGUCGGGGGAUGACGGUACCGGAAGAAUAAGCACCGGCUAACUACGUGCCAGCAGCCGCGGUAAUACGUAGGGUGCAAGCGUUAAUCGGAAUUACUGGGCGUAAAGCGUGCGCAGGCGGUUUGCUAAGACCGAUGUGAAAUCCCCGGGCUCAACCUGGGAACUGCAUUGGUGACUGGCAGGCUAGAGUAUGGCAGAGGGGGGUAGAAUUCCACGUGUAGCAGUGAAAUGCGUAGAGAUGUGGAGGAAUACCGAUGGCGAAGGCAGCCCCCUGGGCCAAGUACUGACGCUCAUGCACGAAAGCGUGGGGAGCAAACAGGAUUAGAUACCCUGGUAGUCCACGCCCUAAACGAUGUCAACUAGUUGUUGGGGAUUCAUUUCCUUAGUAACGUAGCUAACGCGUGAAGUUGACCGCCUGGGGAGUACGGUCGCAAGAUUAAAACUCAAA
rnacentral:rRNA from 1 species